AGAGUUUGAUCCUGGCUCAGGACGAACGCUGGCGGCGUGCCUAAUACAUGCAAGUCGAGCGCGUUGAAAACAACAUGAUCCCUUCGGGGUGAUUGUUGUGGAUCGAGCGGCGGACGGGUGAGUAACACGUGGGUAACCUACCUGAGAGAUCGGGAUAACCCCGGGAAACCGGGGCUAAUACCGAAUAAUCGUUGGAACCGCAUGGUUCCAACGUAAAAAGGCGGCUUUGCCGUCACUCCCAGAUGGACCCGCGGGCGGCAUUUAAGCUUAGUUGGUAAGGUUAACGGGCUUUACCAAGGGCAAACGAUGCGUAAGCCGAACCUGAGAGGGUGAUCGGCCAACACUGGGACUGAGAACACGGCCCAGACUCCUACGGGAGGCAGCAGUAGGGGAAUCUUCCGCAAUGGACGAAAGUCUGACGGAGCAACGCCGCGUGAACGAUGAAGGUCUUCGGAUCGUAAAGUUCUGUUGUUAGGGAAAGAAACAAGUACCAGAAGGAAAUGCUGGGUACCCUUGACGGUACCUAACCAAGAAAAGCCCACGGGCUUAACUACGUUGCCAGCAGGCCGGCGGUUAAUUACGGUAGGGUGGCAAGGCGUUUGUCCCGGAAUUAUUGGGCGUUAAGCGCGCGCCAGGCCGGGUUCCUUUAGUUCUUGAUGUGAAAGCCCCACAGCUCAACUGUUGGAAGGGCCAUUUGGAAAACUGGGGGAAACUUGAGUCAGGAAAGAGGAGAGCGGAAUUUCCAACGUUGUUGCGGUGAAAUGCGUAGAUUUGUUGGAGGGAACACCAGUGGCGAAAGGCGGCUCUCUGGUNCUGUUAACUUGACGCCUGAGGCGCGAAAGCGUGGGGUAGCAACAGGAUAGAUACCUGGUAGUCCACCCGUAAACGUUGAGUGCUAGGUGUUAGGGGGUUUCCGCCCCUUAGUGCUGAAGUUAACGCAUUUAAGCACUCCGCCUGGGGAGUACGCCGCAAGGCUGAAAACUCAAAAGAAUUGACGGGGGCCCGCACAAGCGGUGGAGCAUGUGGUUUAAUUCGAAGCAACGCGAAGAACCUUACCAGGUCUUGACAUCUUCCGCUAUCCCUAGAGAUAGGGAGUUCCCUUCGGGGACGGAAUGACAGGUGGUGCAUGGUUGUCGUCAGCUCGUGUCGUGAGAUGUUGGGUUAAGUCCCGCAACGAGCGCAACCCUAAUCUUAGUUUGCCAGCAUUCAGUUGGGCACUCUAAGGUGACUGCCGGUGACAAACCGGAGGAAGGCGGGGAUGACGUCAAAUCAUCAUGCCCCUUAUGACUGGGCUACACACGUGCUACAAUGGAUGNCCCCCCCCGNCUGCGAGACCGCGAGGUCAAGCAAAUCUCAAAAAACCAUUCUCAGUUCGGAUUGCAGGCUGCAACUCGCCUGUAUGAAGCCGGAAUCGCUAGUAAUCGCAGGUCAGCAUACUGCGGUGAAUACGUUCCCGGGCCUUGUACACACCGCCCGUCACACCACGAGAGUUGGCAACACCCGAAGUCGGUGAGGUAACCUUUCCCNAGCCAGCCGCCGAAGGUGGGGCCAAUGAUUGGGGUGAAGUCGUAACAAGGUAGCCGUAUCGGAAGGUGCGGCUGGAUCACCUCCUU
rnacentral:rRNA from 1 species